UAUCUGGUUGAUCCUGCCAGUAGUCAUAUGCUUGUCUCAAAGAUUAAGCCAUGCAUGUCUAAGUACAAACCUUAAUACGGUGAAACCGCGAAUGGCUCAUUAAAUCAGCUAUGGUUCCUUAGAUCGUCUCAUCCUACUCGGAUAACUGUGGAAAAUCUAGAGCUAAUACGUGCUUACAAGCCCUGACCUCACGGGAGGGGCGCAUUUAUUAGAUCAAAACCAAUCGGGCUUGCCCCGUCUGCUUGGUGACUCUGGAUAACUUUUGUGCUGAUCGCAUGGCCUCUGCGCUGGCGACGUAUCUUUCAAGUGUCUGCCCUAUCAACUUACGAUGGUAGGUGAUAUGCCUACCAUGGUUAUAACGGGUAACGGGGAAUCAGGGUUCGAUUCCGGAGAGGGAGCCUGAGAAACGGCUACCACAUCUAAGGAAGGCAGCAGGCGCGCAAAUUACCCACUCCCGGCACGGGGAGGUAGUGACGAAAAAUAACGAUACGGGACUCUUUUGAGGCCCCGUAAUUGGAAUGAGUACACUUUAAAUCCGUUAACAAGUAUCUAUUGGAGGGCAAGUCUGGUGCCAGCAGCAGCGGGUAAUUCCAGCUCCAAUAGCGUAUAUUAAUGUUGCUGCAGUUAAAAAGCUCGUAGUUGGAUCUGAGGACUCGAAUUGGUGGUGCACCAUACGGUGUUACUGCCGAUUCGGCCUACCUAGUCGGUGCUCGCUCUUGGUGUUCUUAAUUGAAUGCCCUGAGUGCCCGGCAAGUUUACUUUGAAAAAAUUAGAGUGCUCAAAGCAGGCCAUUAGCCGGAAUACUUCAGCAUGGAAUAAUGGAAUAGGACUUCGGUUCUAUUUUGUUGGUUUUCGGAACCCGAGGUAAUGAUUAAGAGAGACAGACGGGGGCAUU
rnacentral:ncRNA from 1 species